UGAUCUUCACCACCAUUCUACUGUCUACCACACAGUUGGUGGAUUUCAGGCGGCCAUGGACUUCGGUCUUACUGGAGUGCAGGAGAUACCCCUAGUAUCCCAAAUCCUGGUUCUUCCACCAGCCAGGGACAAAGGAAUGAGCAGACACCUGCCGGAAGCAUGGGCUGUCAGCCUGAUUCACAGGUCCUUCACUAAGGCAGCCCUUCACUAUUAUAAAGAAUCUGAACUGAUGACAUGGAAAGAGUAAGGAAAAAACAGAAACAAUUCA